UACAGAGGUCUCAAGCGUUGUUCGGAUUCAUUGGGCGUAAAGGGUGCGUAGGUGGUGCUGUAAGUCAGGUGUGAAAUCUCGGGGCUCAACCCCGAAACUGCACUUGAUACUGCAGUGCUCGAGGACUGGAGAGGAGAUCGGAAUUCAUGGUGUAGCAGUGAAAUGCGUAGAGAUCAUGAGGAAGACCAGUGGCGAAGGCGGGUCUCUGGACAGUUCCUGACACUGAGGCACGAAGGCCAGGGGAGCAAACGGG
rnacentral:rRNA from 1 species